UACGAAGGGGGCUAGCGUUGUUCGGAAUUACUGGGCGUAAAGCGCACGUAGGCGGCUAUUUAAGUCAGGGGUGAAAUCCCAGAGCUCAACUCUGGAACUGCCUUUGAUACUGGGUAUCUUGAGUAUGGAAGAGGUGAGUGGAAUUCCGAGUGUAGAGGUGAAAUUCGUAGAUAUUCGGAGGAACACCAGUGGCGAAGGCGGCUCACUGGUCCAUUACUGACGCUGAGGUGCGAAAGCGUGGGGAGCAAACAGG
rnacentral:rRNA from 1 species